rnacentral:rRNA from 1 species
UAACUACAACGUAACGGUUCGUGAUUACGACAAAGACGAUUUUGACGGUGACAAGUACCACAACACGAAAAACGGAUUCAACGCCGAUAUUGGUGCUUAUACAGACCUGAAUGACAACUGGACUGUCGGUCUUUUUGCCCAGAACAUCAUUCCACGCAGUAUUGAUACUAAAGUCGUCAAUGGCUUUAAAGAAACCUUCAAAGUUCGUCCACAGGCAACCGCCGGUGUAUCCUGGCAUAAUGACCUGUUUACCACUGCUCUUGACGUUGAUCUGACUCCUGCCAGUGGCUUCACUUCUGACAGCAAACGUCAGUUUGCAAGUGUUGGUGCUGAAUUUAACGCAUGGAAAUGGGCGCAAUUGCGUGCCGGUUAUCGUCAGAACAUGGCAUCAAACUCCGGAWGCGAAAGCGUGGGGAGCAAACAGGAUUAGAUACCCUGGUAGUCCACGCCGUAAACGAUGUCGACUUGGAGGUUGUGCCCUUGAGGCGUGGCUUCCGGAGCUAACGCGUUAAGUCGACCGCCUGGGGAGUACGGCCGCAAGGUUAAAACUCAAAUGAAUUGACGGGGGCCCGCACAAGCGGUGGAGCAUGUGGUUUAAUUCGAUGCAACGCGAAGAACCUUACCUGGUCUUGACAUCCACGGAAGUUUUCAGAGAUGAGAAUGUGCCUUCGGGAACCGUGAGACAGGUGCUGCAUGGCUGUCGUCAGCUCGUGUUGUGAAAUGUUGGGUUAAGUCCCGCAACGAGCGCAACCCUUAUCCUUUGUUGCCAGCGGUCCGGCCGGGAACUCAAAGGAGACUGCCAGUGAUAAACUGGAGGAAGGUGGGGAUGACGUCAAGUCAUCAUGGCCCUUACGACCAGGGCUACACACGUGCUACAAUGGCGCAUACAAAGAGAAGCGACCUCGCGAGAGCAAGCGGACCUCAUAAAGUGCGUCGUAGUCCGGCAUGUCACCAAAUUUAAUGAAGAGAAUUUUUUUAACGGGGGAGGUUCCCCCGUCAGAUCAUUUCACAAUGGUUUUGACACCGUCAGGUGUGCCAAUCAGCGCAACGUCCGCGCCACGGUUAGCAAACAAGCCAACAGUCACCACGCCAGGAAUCGCAUUUA